rnacentral:rRNA from 1 species
CCAGACUCCUACGGGAGGCAGCAGUGGGGAAUAUUGCACAAUGGGGGAAACCCUGAUGCAGCGACGCCGCGUGAGUGAAGAAGUAUUUCGGUAUGUAAAGCUCUAUCAGCAGGGAAGAAAAUGACGGUACCUGACUAAGAAGCCCCGGCUGACUACGUGCCAGCAGCCGCGGUAAUACGUAGGGGGCAAGCGUUAUCCGGAUUUACUGGGUGUAAAGGGAGCGUAGACGGCGAUGCAAGUCUGAAGUGAAAGCCCGGGGCUCAACUCCGGGACUGCUUUUGAAACUGUUGAACUAGAUUGCAGGAGAGGUAAGUGGAAUUCCUAGUGUAGCGGUGAAAUGCGUAGAUAUUAGGAGGAAUACCAGUGGCGAAGGCGGCUUACUGGACUGUAAAUGACGCUGAGGCUCGAAAGCGUGGGGAGCAAACAGGAUUAGAUACCCCGGUAUCA